GAUGAACGCUGGCGGCGUGCCUAAUACAUGCAAGUCGAGCGAACGGACGAGAAGCUUGCUUUUCUGAUGUUAGCGGCGGACGGGUGAGUAACACGUGGAUAACCUACCUAUAAGACUGGGAUAACUUCGGGAAACCGGAGCUAAUACCGGAUAAUAUUUUGAACCGCAUGGUUCAAAGGUGAAAGACGGUCUUGCUGUCACUUAUAGAUGGAUCCGCGCUGCAUUAGCUAGUUGGUAAGGUAACGGCUUACCAAGGCAACGAUGCAUAGCCGACCUGAGAGGGUGAUCGGCCACACUGGAACUGAGACACGGUCCAGACUCCUACGGGAGGCAGCAGUAGGGAAUCUUCCGCAAAGGGCGAAAGCCUGACGGAGCAACGCCGCGUGAGUGAUGAAGGUCUUCGGAUCGUAAAACUCUGUUAUUAGGGAAGAACAUAUGUGUAAGUAACUGUGCACAUCUUGACGGUACCUAAUCAGAAAGCCACGGCUAACUACGUG
rnacentral:rRNA from 1 species